AUUGAACGCUGGCGGCAUGCCUUACACAUGCAAGUCGAACGGUAACAGGUCUUCGGAUGCUGACGAGUGGCGAACGGGUGAGUAAUACAUCGGAACGUGCCUAGUAGUGGGGGAUAACUACUCGAAAGAGUGGCUAAUACCGCAUGAGAUCUACGGAUGAAAGCAGGGGAUCGCAAGACCUUGUGCUACUAGAGCGGCCGAUGGCAGAUUAGGUAGUUGGUGGGAUAAAAGCUUACCAAGCCGACGAACUGUAGCUGGUCUGAGAGGACGAUCAGCCACACUGGGACUGAGAAACGGCCCAGACUCCUACGGGAGGCAGCAGCGGGGAAUUUUGGACAAUGGGCGCAAGCCUGAUCCAGCAAUGCCGCGUGCAGGAUGAAGGCCUUCGGGUUGUAAACUGCUUUUGUACGGAACGAAAAGCCCCGGGUUAAUACCCUGGGGUCAUGACGGUACCGUAAGAAUAAGCACCGGCUAACUACGUGCCAGCCGCCGCGGUAA
rnacentral:rRNA from 1 species